AAAUCCCAGAGAGGGAGACAGGAGAAGAAUGUGCUUGUGUGCCAUAGAAGAUGGACAGGCAUCCUGGCUGGGAUGGAGGAUGGUUUCUUGCCCGGCCAGGAGGCCCUAAUAGAUGGACUGUGCAAAUGGGCAUGCUGGGAGCAGUUCAUUCCACCACACAACAGGUAGCAAUGUUCAUCCAGGAUAAACCCAAUGAUUACACCAGCAGGAUGGCAUUGGAACUGAAGUCCGGAAAAGCAGCCCUGUUGGGGUGUUUGAGUGCCACAAGUGGGAGCUCCCCGGGGAGGACUAUCAUGGUGUUUUAGAAUGUUCAAUGUUUACUCUGAAGAGUACUAGUUGGUGAUUGCAAAAAUGAAGUCUUAAGAUUUUUGUGGGAUAUAAAUAAUUCUUUUUUGAAGCACCUGUUAUAUACUCUGUACUAAGCAUGUCACAAAAAUCUUCCAGGAAGAAAAAAUGCAGUGUACUGGUAAUGAAAUAUGAUGUCUUGUCUCAAUCAGACUACUGAUGAUGAAACUCAGAAAUACAUCAAGACAACAACUCUGGCUGCUUUGGCAAUGGAGGUUUCGCCCAGACUUAAUAAGGAAGAAAACCAAGGCCCCCUUACUGCGCCAUCAUCUCUGAAUAAGGAUGCCAGCAUAUCACAAAUAUUGGCAACAAAGGGGCAGGAGGAGGUGGAGCAGCAGGUUUUUGUGAUGGCUGAACGCACCUAAGGAGAAGUGCUGGGAUCUGGUCAUGAUCACUUCGCUCAAACCCCCCUCGUCCCCCGAGGCACGCUACGCUCCUGCCACUUCGUGUUGGGAAGGGGGGAGCUGAA